AACGAACGCUGGCGGCAUGCCUAACACAUGCAAGUCGAACGAGACCUUCCGGUCUAUUUGCGCACGGGUGCUUAACGCGUGGUAACCUGCCCUUAAGUUCCGAAUAACUCCCCUAAAGGUGUCCUAAUACCGCAUAAUGUCUUCGGACCAAAGAUUUAUCGCCUUUGGAUGGGCCCGCGUUGGAUUAGCUAGUUGGUAGGGUAAAAGCCUACCAAGGCGACGAUCCAUAGCUGGUCUGAGAGGAUGAUUAGCCACACUGGGACUGAGACACGGCUCAGAAUCCUACGGGAGGCAGCAGUGGGGAAUAUUGGACAAUGGGCGAAAGCCUGAUCCAGCAAUGCCGCGUGAGUGAUGAAGGCCUUAGGGUUGUAAAGCUCUUUUACCCGGGAUGAUAAUGACAGUACCGGGAGAAUAAGCUCCGGCUAACUACGUG
rnacentral:rRNA from 1 species